GACAGAGGGUGCAAACGUUGCUCGGAAUUACUGGGCGUAAAGCGCGUGUAGGCGGUCACGCAAGUCAGGUGUGAAAGCCCAGGGCUCAACCCUGGAAGUGCACAUGAUACUACGUGGCUGGAGUACUGAAGAGGAGAGCGGAAUUCCCGGUGUAGAGGUGAAAUUCGUAGAUAUCGGGAGGAACACCAGUGGCGAAGGCGGCUCUCUGGGCAGAUACUGACGCUGAGACGCGAAAGCGUGGGGAGCAAACAGG
rnacentral:rRNA from 1 species